CAUGGCUCAGAUUGAACGCUGGCGGCAGGCCUAACACAUGCAAGUCGAACGGUAACAGGAAACAGCUUGCUGUUUCGCUGACGAGUGGCGGACGGGUGAGUAAUGUCUGGGAAACUGCCUGAUGGAGGGGGAUAACUACUGGAAACGGUAGCUAAUACCGCAUAACGUCGCAAGACCAAAGAGGGGGACCUUCGGGCCUCUUGCCAUCGGAUGUGCCCAGAUGGGAUUAGCUAGUAGGUGGGGUAACGGCUCACCUAGGCGACGAUCCCUAGCUGGUCUGAGAGGAUGACCAGCCACACUGGAACUGAGACACGGUCCAGACUCCUACGGGAGGCAGCAGUGGGGAAUAUUGCACAAUGGGCGCAAGCCUGAUGCAGCCAUGCCGCGUGUAUGAAGAAGGCCUUCGGGUUGUAAAGUACUUUCAGCGGGGAGGAAGGGAGUAAAGUUAAUACCUUUGCUCAUUGACGUUACCCGCAGAAGAAGCACCGGCUAACUCCGUGCCAGCCGCCAGC
rnacentral:rRNA from 1 species